GCUUGUCUCAAAGAUUAAGCCAUGCAUGUCUAAGUAUAAGUAUUAUACAGCGAAACUGCGAAUGGCUCAUUAAAACAGUUAUGGUUUAUUUGAUAAUCGAAUUUUACAUGGAUAACCGUGGUAAUUCUAGAGCUAAUACAUGCUGGUGUGCCUGACUUUUCGGAAGGGCGGUAUUUAUUAGAUACAAAACCAACCCGGGCAACCGGUCCUUUGGUGAUUCAUGAUAACUUUGCGAAUCGCAUAGCUUUAAUGCUGGCGAUGGGUCAUUCAAAUUUCUGCCCUAUCAACUUUCGACGGUAGGAUAGAGGCCUACUGUGGUGAUAACGGGUAACGAAGAAUAAGGGUUCGAUUUCGGAGAGGGAGCCUGAGAAACGGCUACCACAUCCAAGGAAGGCAGCAGG
rnacentral:rRNA from 1 species